rnacentral:rRNA from 1 species
AACGAACGCUGGCGGCAUGCCUAACACAUGCAAGUCGAACGAGACCUUCGGGUCUAGUGGCGCACGGGUGCGUAACCCGUGGGAACCUGCCCUUAGGUUCGGAAUAACUCCCCGAAAGGGGUGCUAAUACCGGAUAAUGUCUUCGGACCAAAGAUUUAUCGCCUUUGGAUGGGCCCGCGUUGGAUUAGCUAGUUGGUAGGGUAAAAGCCUACCAAGGCGACGAUCCAUAGCUGGUCUGAGAGGAUGAUCAGCCACACUGGGACUGAGACACGGCCCAGACUCCUACGGGAGGAAGCAGUGGGGAAUAUUGGACAAUGGGCGAAAGCCUGAUCCAGCAAUGCCGCGUGAGUGAUGAAGGCCUUAGGGUUGUAAAGCUCUUUUACCCGGGAUGAUAAUGACAGUACCGGGAGAAUAAGCUCCGGCUAACUCCGUG